AACGAACGCUGGCGGCAGGCUUAACACAUGCAAGUCGAACGCAUCCUUCGGGGUGAGUGGCAGACGGGUGAGUAACGCGUGGGAACGUGCCCUUCAGUUCGGGAUGACCCAGGGAAACUUGGGCUAAUACCGGAUACGUGCGAGAGCAGAAAGAUUUAUCGCUGAAGGAUCGGCCCGCGCCUGAUUAGCUAGUUGGUGGGGUAAUGGCCCACCAAGGCGACGAUCAGUAGCUGGUCUGAGAGGAUGAUCAGCCACAUUGGGACUGAGACACGGCCCAAACUCCUACGGGAGGCAGCAGUGGGGAAUAUUGGACAAUGGGCGCAAGCCUGAUCCAGCCAUGCCGCGUGAGUGAUGAAGGCCUUAGGGUUGUAAAGCUCUUUCGUCCGGGACGAUAAUGACGGUACCGGAAGAAGAAGCCCCGGCUAACUUCGUGCCAGCCGCCGCAGUAAGAC
rnacentral:rRNA from 1 species